rnacentral:rRNA from 1 species
AAAGGAAUUGACGGGCACCCGCACAAGCGGUGGAGCAUGCUGUUUAAUUCGAAGAUACGCGAAGAACCUUACCUAGACUUGACAUCCCUGGCAAAGGCAUAGAAAUAUGCUGGAGGUUAUCCGGGAGACAGGUGGUGCAUGGUUGUCGUCAGCUCGUGUCGUGAGAUGUUCGGUUAAGUCCGCUAACGAGCGCAACCCUUGUCCUUAGUUGCUAACAUUAAGUUGAGAACCCUAAGGAGACUGCCAGUGAUAAGCUGGAGGAAGGUGGGGAUGACGUCAAAUCAUCAUGCCCCUUACGUCUAGGGCUACAGGCGUGCUAUAAUGGCCAUUAUAAAGAGAUGCAAUACUGUGAAGUGGAGCUAAACUCCAAAGAUGGUCUCAGUUCGGAUUGAAGUCUGCAACUCGACUUCAUGAAGUUAGAAUCGCUAGUAAUCCUGAAUCAGAAUGUCAGGGUGAAUACGUUCCCGGGUGUUGUACACACCGCCCGU